rnacentral:sRNA from 1 species
UAGUGUAGACUUAAAGUAGUUUCAUCUAGGUGAACUGGUUAGUGUAGACUUAAAGUAGUUUCAUCUAGGUGAACUGGUUAGUGUAGACUUAAAGUAGUUUCAUCAUAGGUGAACUGGUUAGUGCAGACUUAAAGUAGUUUCAUCUAGGUGAACUGGUUAGUGUAGACUUAAAGUAGUUUCAUCAUAGGUGAACUGGUUAGUGCAGACUUAAAGUAGUUUCAUCAUAGGUGAACUGGUUAGUGUAGACUUAAAGUAGUUUCAUCAUAGGUGAACUGGUUAGUGCAGACUUAAAGUAGUUUCAUCAUAGGUGAACUGGUUAGUGUAGACUUCAAGUAGAGAAUCAAUCAAACCAGUUAAAGGUCAAUACGCUUUGAACAUUAUAGAAAUGUUUGCUCUAAUCAUGUUUUUUUAAAAUGCACAAUUGUAAAACAAAUUUCCUCAAGGAGAAUAAAGAUUAUUAUUAAUCAUAUAAGUUGGAUAUCAGGUGCCUGCGGUCUAAUUUCCAUACAUAAUCUAGAUGGCUGCUUGGUCGUGCGGUUUGUGCGCUGGACUGU